UUUGACCUCAAAUCAGGUAAGGCUACCCGCUG
rnacentral:rRNA from 1 species